ACCCGCCGACGUCGUGUGUGUCCGCUGUCCGCGACACGUUGUCUUAUCUUUGUAAUUGACGUUCGCUCCUCGCGACCUUUGCGGCGUCGGCUUGUGAGUCGAGCGGUGACCAUCUUUUAUCGUGUUUGACGAUUUCAUUGUCGUAUUUGCCCCGCACUCUUUGUCCCUGAGCACUAAACAGUCGGGUCAACAUUCAACUAUGGAAAGAACAAACGUAAUAACAAACAUGUAUAACAUAAUUUAUUAUCAUUCAACACGUGCUUUGCGCCUUGACGCCUUGUGUGUCUUCACUUGAACGUUGGUGGUCGGCUUAAGUUGUGUAUGUCGUCGUAAUCACUACCUUAGUCCUAUGUACGAUGGACAUGAUGUAAUCAAGUAAAUAACAUGAUAUGAUGGAACUUUUGUUGGUCAGAUAUUUAGAUUUCAUAAACAUUCACAUUGGUUCAUUAAGGUUACUGCAUAGUGCAAUGUCAAGAUAUAAACGUCAGAAUCAACCAGUGACUCCUCAGUGACUACAUUUCAUUUGCAGUUGACUGAAGAAUAUGCACACGUAUUCAUGAUAAGUAAUUGUGGCAUUAUUAGUACAGUUCCGAAUGAAGGAAUCAUUUUGUUUUUUAUACUGCCUGGAGUCAAAAAGUAUGCUAUCUUAUUAUACAAUUAUUUUAGUCUACUUAGGAUUGGAUCAAUGUUUUUGUUGGAUUGCAAUUUUUCAAGUGUACCAUCUUUUAAAAACAAAUGUCGCUAUGUGCACUACGUUUAAUACUGUAUUUUCAUUAGAGUUUGCGUUAAUGUCAAAGAAAAACGAAAGAGCAUACAAAACAGUUUUCAAUAAGAUGAUAAGUCUAAUACCUGAGUGGCAACCGUUGAUUACUAUAGUUAACAUGGUUCAGCUAUAGCUUCUAUUAGAAUGUUGUUUCCGAUUACCAUAAUUAGAAUAUGUUGGUUUCAUCCAUCCCAAGCUGUAUGGAAGAAAGUUGUAAACAUAGGUUCAAAGGAAUUUGAGUGACAAAUACCGUACAAUGAUAGCUCAAAUUGUUCCAGUACAAAUUCCAUUAAAGGUGUGCCAAAAAUAAAGACCAAUGUUGAUGUCGGCUGCCAAAGUGCUACUGCUCCUGCAGGCUAAAACUAUUCCAAUGGACCAGUAUCCAAACUUGAGGAAUGUGGCCCGAGCCCUACUGUGAAGACAAUGGCCAUAGACAAAGAUUAAAAUGAGAUAACCAUUGCUGUGUGGAACUGUCGUCCUGGUGGAAGGUCACAAUGUGUUUGUUUGUCGAUCAUCUUGGCAGUAUCAACAUAGGCAACACCAUGAUAUAAGGAAUACAACAUGUUAUAAAUAUUCAUAUUUGAAAAAUAAAAUGAAAUACUUAAUGUAUUAA